CAACAUUGAAUUACGUCAUUUACAUAGAAGGUAUGUAAAUAAAAAAAAAUUACUCUUAGCCUUCAAUUUAUUUCUCUUCUUAUUGAUGCUCUUAUAGUCUUUCAUAACUUAUUUUAGUUUUUUGAGUUACAACAUAUUUGCAAACUUAAAAACUCAAUUGACAUCAUUAAUAUAAAAGUAAGUUUAUGUCAUUCAUAAAAAUCAAUUAUCUUAUUUUGAUAGUUCCUCUCUUUUUAUGGAUGACAAAACUUAAUUUUUAAAUUACAUUUAUAUAACAUGUAAAGGAGCAUUAAAGAUAAAUUUAAAAAUUCUCCCCUUACUAUGUGCUCCAUACUCUUAUAGUUUUAAAAAACAAGUAAAAAAAUAAAAACUUUUGUCUUAUAUUCAAUAAAAUAUCUCAAAAGCUCAUGAAAACUACUCACUACCACUUUCCUUAUUUAACCAAUGAUAUCAGAAUAGUUUUUCUAGUGAAAAGAAAUAAGAUUCAUUCACUUUUUAUUACAAAGAUUUUUUCUCAAAGCUUUUUCUCUCCUAAGGAAUUAUUGGUACUAUGGAUUGAUCCCCCCAUUUUUCUUCUCUUUAAUCAAAAAGGUAUAUUGAAUUAAAAAGGAAUAUUUUUCCCUUUUUAAUGUCUUAAGGAUAAAUAAAUAAGAUAAAAAGGACAGAGAAAAAAAAUUCUUAGUGAAAAGGAGUGUUAUCAAAAUCUUUACCAAUCUUCAAAGAUAUUAAAUAAGUUCAAUAGAUUAAAAAUUAAAAUAUCAACAAUUAUCAAAGAUAUUCAAUAAACAUAUCACAUUGGAGUACCAUCAAUAUUUAAAGAUAUUCAAUAAAUUUAUCACAUUGAAAUAUCAUCAAUUUCCAAUGAUUUCCAAUAAGCAUCUCACUUGGAUGUGUAUAUUUUAUAUGAUAUAAAAUGACCAAAUAUACUCAUUUUUAUCAAGAAAGAUUAAUCAGUUAACACAAGUAUUUUUAUUCGUCCAUUUCGUAUAUACAUUAUCUAUAAACAUAUUAUCUUUUAAAGUUCAUAAUUGUCAAGUACCAAAUAUCAAAUAUUAGACCUUCUUCCUAGUUGUCUAUCACACAUAUUAUCAUAAUUAUUUUCAAUAUGUAUUAUUAAAACUAUAAUAAUCAAGAAUCUUUAUAAGUGAUUAGUUAUCCAUGUUUCUCAACUUUCUUGAAUUUUUUAAAUGAUAAUCAAGUGUAAGAAAGUUAACAAGGAAGUAUGUUAAGAUCUUAGAAAGGAAUCAAAAUUCAUUAUUCACCAACUCAUACAAGAUUCUUAAAAGUAAGAAUUCAAAAAAUUAACAUCUUUUCAUAUGAUCCAUAUUCUAAAAUAUCAUUAUUUGUUCAAAAAUAUCAUUUCAGCUUCUAUUUAUUAAGUGCAUCAGAUGUAAUGAGUGAUUAGAAUGCCUUAUAUGAUUCGUGGAAGUACUUCCAACAUAUUAUGUGAUGUGGUUUAAAUGAUUACAUUUCUCAACACAUUACAUGUCUUGACGUGAUAAGAGAAUUUUCAUCAUAUAGCUUGAUGUAAUUUAGAAGAUCACAUAUCUUAAUACAUCACAAAAUAUUUCAGCACAUAACCUAAUGUGAUUAAAAAUAUCUAUUCUCUCAACAAUUCAAAUAUCAUCUCCAUUGAUCUUUAUGAAUAAUACGUUAUCUACUUUUUUCAUUGUGAAUUCCUUUGUUAAGAAGAUUUUAAUAAAACGUUUAACCAAGCUCAAAGACUGCUUUAAACUAUAUAAGAAGGUGUCGAUAGAGAUCAAGGUGGCACAAAUCAUCAUAGGCCACAUGGAAUCUCAAAGAAACAUGAAAGCUAAUGACCACAUGAGGGAUCAUGCCUACAUAAGCUUAAGAGUCCAUGGCCACAAAGGAAAUCAUGGCUAUGUGUAACACCUUGAAAACCUUUGCGCUUUAUUUGUAAUGUGAACCCCUAUUUAUUCAGGCUCUAAGGCAACUUAAACUCCUUAAUAUUUCGUAAUUUUAAUUUUUUGGACUAAUAUUGUAUUUCAUAUUUUAAAUUUUCAUAUUUUUAUUUGAUUUAAUAAUUCUUAAAAUUUAUUAUUUUGUUUUCGUAAGAAAAUUUUAUAAUAUUUAUUAAUUAAAAUGAAUUUCAAGAAAAUGGAGAAAAAGGUAGAAAAUCCUACGGGAAUGCCUGCGCAGAAUGUACGCACAUUGCACAUGUCCAGUCUACACGGUCUGCGCGCGCAGACAGGUGCACGUCUAUGUGCCUUAUGCGCACGCCGUCUGUGCGGUAGGCUUGCAUGCAACGCCUUGCGCACUGUAGGGCCUGAAUGUGUGAUAGACUAGUAGUUGGCCAGGGCAGCAAGUGACUGGCUCGGGUAGUGCGCGCCACCCAUUUGGGCGUCAUCCGCUGCCGGUUAAGUGGUGAGUCGUCACUGACUUAGGUGACCUGCUGUCGUCGCUUGGGCGACGUGUUGCCGUCGUUUGGGUGACAUGCCUCCAUUUUUUGUGACGUCGUCAUAUUGCAUCAUUCAUCUGUCGCUCACAUCUAUCAGUCGUCACGUCACUUCUUUUCCCAUUGACUUUCUCUCACCUCACCAGAUUUUUCCACUUGGUGCAAAUUCAAUGGUCCCCAUUUUUUAUAAAUUAGGAGCCUCCCUUCACGAUUUUCUCGUCACUUCCGUUCCAUUCUUCCAUCCUCCAAGAGCUUUAGAGAGAGAGAGAGUGAUCUAGAGAGAAAUGGAGAGGAGAAGAAGAAGAAAAGGCGUAGAAAACAUCAAGCUUUCGGUAAACAAUUUAAUAUUUACUUUUAAGCAUCUUAAUGAGCAUUUAUAGAAUGAAAAUUAAUGAGGUUUAAAUUGAUGAUUUGCAUGGUUGAAUUUUAUGCCUAAACUAAGUAAUUUUAUGUGAUAAUGCAUGCUUUAUAAUCCUAUAUGAACUUGUUAAUUUACAUGUGUAAAUUUAUAUGAUUUGAUGCUCGAAAUAAAUGUUGAUAUGUGAUGCUAUUAAUGGUAGAAAAAUGAUUAAGCAUGAAAUGAUAUAUAAACAUGAGAAAUAUACAUUUAUAUUGGCAUGUAUAUUCAUAAAGUGUUUCGUUAGACUUUUUAUCUCUGAUGAGAGUGGUAUUGCGAUAUGAUUGUAGGAGUCAUCGCUGGCGAAAUACGUCCAUAGCCAUAUUUAACAUGUAGGACCACUGUCGUUGACAUGGCUGUAGUCAUGGAUCAUAUCAUGGUGUGGCAAGCCGUAAAUGUGCUAUUAGUUUGGCAAGCCACAAAUUGUUGUUAUAAAUAAAAUGAAUUGGUCAUUCCACAUGGGUAGUCGAAAACCCGUAUUGCCCUCAGUAGAUGGAAGUCGGAACGACUUUACGAAGAAUAACACGAAAGACAAUGCACAUUUAUGAUUUGUUUGAUGUUCUCUAUUACUAGCAUGAUAUAUUUGACUGACAUAACCAUGACGUGAUGGAUUUGAUGUUUUCUUUAAUAAAUAAAUUAUUUUCAUAAUUUAAUGAAGGACCCUGACAUGACUCUUGAUUGUAAGUAAUGAUGACACAUUUAAUUACCUUUAAAAUCUUAUGAUAUUAUUUAAAUACUAUUUUUCUUACUGAAUAUAUGAAACCCACCUUUUUCAUGCCUCCCUCCAAAUGAGGAAGAUAGUGAGGAAUUGAUCGCUGACCUACUCCUUAAAGUCUUUGAGGAUCCUGUGGAUCCAUAAAUCUUGAUAAAUGCAUGACUUAUUCGGCACUCUGAUGAGUCUUUUUACAUAGUGAUAGAAGUGGCUCUUUUUGUAUUUUGAUAUUUUGUAUUUUGUUACCACUUCUGCCCUUAGUUAUAUAUAUAAUUGGGAACUCAUAUUUUUUAAGGAAUUUGUAAUAAAUUUCUCUGUUGCAUACAUUUAACUAUUAUGCACUUAUAAUCUGUGUCUGUAUCUAGCACCCUUAUCUCUUAAUCAACAUUUGGGAUGUCACACUAUGUGUCACGUUCCCAAUACCGAAUAGGGGCACCAACAUGAUUACGUUGUAGUAAAACUAUAUAUCCCAUUUAAAGUUUAUAAAAGACUCUACACUGAGGCUCAAUACGCUAUCUACAUUUCAAAAUACAAAAUAAGAGAUAACCUAGUUACAAAAUACUAGCCUCAAGUCUAAAAUAAAAUACAGAGUUUGCCCCAAACUAAACUUUCUGAAAGGAGUCUAAAUAGGCUCUCCAGUGUUUUCCUUUAGAUCUGCAUCUGAAGGGGGGGAGAGGGAUUGGAUUUGGGUGAGUUCUAAAACUCAGUAAAAUAUAAUGAAAUAAUACAACACAUAUACGUUUCAAAACUUGAUUUUGAUGCAUACUUGAAAAACAGGAGUUCCUAAUUUAAUUAACAGAUCAAAUCAAAUGCCAUAGUCAAAUCCCAUAACAAAUGAAUCCAACUCAAAUGUUCAUCUCAUAUAAAUUGUUACAAGGAUGCUAAAUAUCGUACUCGAUGGGUUUACACAACUCACGCAUCCAGAACUAAACUCGUUUUCUAACAUAGUUUCAAUUACCAGUUAUUAUCUUAAUUUAAAUUACACUUAUUACAAACCUACGUGCGCAACCGCUUACACUUAUUCCCAAAAAGGGCAAAUGAGAUACCAACUAGUCUUGGGUGGGUGCACAAAUACUUAUAAACAUAUAAUCACAGAUAACAAAUACAAAUAUUUCUCUUAAGUCUCUCCAUGUCGCCAUCAUUCAUACCCUUGGACCCCAAAAUAUGAAUAUCAAAUCGCCUAAAGUCCCUAAAGACAACUGAACUACAUGUCCAAUUAAGGAACCAAAACCAGCACCUAUAACAUAGUGGUUCCUGAACAACUAAACAAACCAAAUACUCCUCGAAGCAAAUACGAUGAAUCGGAUUUAAACCAGAUUAUGUGUUUAUUUAAAUUUUUUACUUUUAUUUUAUUUCGUUAAAUUCUUAAACUUCAUUAUCUUUCCCUAAAUUCAUAAAUUUUAUUGUACUUCUAAAAAAUUAAAAUCUUAAUUCUUCUCAAUAUUUUAAUUUAUUUUAUAACUUGUGAAUUUCCUUAUUUUUAUAUUUAAAUUAUUACUAAGAGAGUUAACUAUUUAUUAAGUGAUUUAGUUUUUAUCUUUCUAUUUUAAUUUAAACCAUUCAUCCUUACUAGACCUAUUUUAUCUCAAAUAAUUUUCAUAAUACUAAAUUUUACAAAUUUCCUUUUUAUUUUUAACUCAGCUCAUGCCUGAAGGGCAUUUCGGAACUGUUAUGGGUGUCCAGAAACAUCCCACGCAUGCCCACAAGCUGCAGGACUGAACACGCCUAGUAGUAGCAGCACCUUAUUGCUGCAUCCUUGUGACAUAGCCAUUCGGUUAAAUUCCUUGAAAUUUUGUUCCCACUUUCUUUGUUUUCUAUGGAUAAAUCACCAACACCCAUUCACUCUAAUAAUUCAUGCAUCAAAAAUAUCAUUUUAAUUUGUAAAAAUCAUAUUUCAUGAGGCACACACACACUAGCUUAACACAUGCAACAUCACCAAAUUAAUUCAAGAAGUUCGAUCGUCAGAUGUAUAUGAAAAUCUCAAAUCAUGCAUCAAUAAGAUUUCUACACAUCUUACCUAUUAAACUAACCAGAGAGAAGUAAAAUUGCAUAAAGAAAAUGCUUGAAAUUCAAGAGUUCUUCUAUCCAAUUCACAAUAGCUGUGCUUGCAGGGCAAAGUGAUGAUUUUGAGUUUAAAAGUUGUUUUACUUCUGGAAAUAAAAUCCUAACACAUUAUCUUAGUGAUUGACUAGAUUUUUGAAAGGAAACAUGAAACAGAAUUGGAAUUUGACGAAGAACAUAUGCUUACCUGAGCAGAGGCUCGUUCAGGUGCAGCAGCAACGGUUUUGGAUUCUAGAGUUUGGUGCUACAAUUUUAGAUCUUUACUUUUGUGUAGAAGUGAUCGUAAGGCACUAAAGAUAUAAACAAAACAAUUCCAAAAAAGAANNN
rnacentral:lncRNA from 1 species